rnacentral:rRNA from 1 species
GAUGAACGCUGGCGGCGUGCCUAAUACAUGCAAGUCGAGCGAACAGAUAAGGAGCUUGCUCCUUUGACGUUAGCGGCGGACGGGUGAGUAACACGUGGGUAACCUACCUAUAAGACUGGAAUAACUCCGGGAAACCGGGGCUAAUGCCGGAUAACAUUUAGAACCGCAUGGUUCUAUAGUGAAAGAUGGUUUUGCUAUCACUUAUAGAUGGACCCGCGCCGUAUUAGCUAGUUGGUAAGGUAACGGCUUACCAAGGCAACGAUACGUAGCCGACCUGAGAGGGUGAACGGCCACACUGGAACUGAGACACGGUCCAGACUCCUACGGGAGGCAGCAGUAGGGAAUCUUCCGCAAUGGGCGAAAGCCUGACGGAGCAACGCCGCGUGAGUGAUGAAGGUCUUCGGAUCGUAAAACUCUGUUAUUAGGGAAGAACAAAUGUGUAAGUAACUGUGCACGUCUUGACGGUACCUAAUCAGAAAGCCACGGCUAACUACGUG